GAAAUGAACGCUGGCGGCAGGCCUAACACAUGCAAGUCGAGCGGAUGAAGGGAGCUUGCUCCUGGAUUCAGCGGCGGACGGGUGAGUAAUGCCUAGGAAUCUGCCUGGUAGUGGGGGAUAACGUCCGGAAACGGGCGCUAAUACCGCAUACGUCCUGAGGGAGAAAGUGGGGGAUCUUCGGACCUCACGCUAUCAGAUGAGCCUAGGUCGGAUUAGCUAGUUGGUGGGGUAAAGGCCUACCAAGGCGACGAUCCGUAACUGGUCUGAGAGGAUGAUCAGUCACACUGGAACUGAGACACGGUCCAGACUCCUACGGGAGGCAGCAGUGGGGAAUAUUGGACAAUGGGCGAAAGCCUGAUCCAGCCAUGCCGCGUGUGUGAAGAAGGUCUUCGGAUUGUAAAGCACUUUAAGUUGGGAGGAAGGGCAGUAAGUUAAUACCUUGCUGUUUUGACGUUACCAACAGAAUAAGCACCGGCUAACUUCGUGCCAGCAGCCGCGGUAAUACGAAGGGUGCAAGCGUUAAUCGGAAUUACUGGGCGUAAAGCGCGCGUAGGUGGUUCAGCAAGUUGGAUGUGAAAUCCCCGGGCUCAACCUGGGAACUGCAUCCAAAACUACUGAGCUAGAGUACGGUAGAGGGUGGUGGAAUUUCCUGUGUAGCGGUG
rnacentral:rRNA from 1 species